rnacentral:rRNA from 1 species
AUUGAACGCUGGCGGCAUGCCUUACACAUGCAAGUCGAACGGUAACAGGUCUUCGGAUGCUGACGAGUGGCGAACGGGUGAGUAAUGCAUCGGAACGUGCCCAGUAGUGGGGGGUAGCCCGGCGAAAGCCGGAUUAAUACCGCAUACGACCUACGGGUGAAAGGGGGGAUCGCAAGACCUCUCGCUAUUGGAGCGGCCGAUGUCAGAUUAGGUAGUUGGUGGGGUAAAGGCCUACCAAGCCGACGAUCUGUAGCUGGUCUGAGAGGACGACCAGCCACACUGGGACUGAGACACGGCCCAGACUCCUACGGGAGGCAGCAGUGGGGAAUUUUGGACAAUGGGCGCAAGCCUGAUCCAGCCAUGCCGCGUGCGGGAAGAAGGCCCUCGGGUUGUAAACCGCUUUUGUCAGGGAAGAAAUCUUUUGAGCUAAUACCUCGGAAGGAUGACGGUACCUGAAGAAUAAGCACCGGCUAACUACGUGCCAGCAGCCGCAGUAAUAC